GCGGGGGUUCGGCCCUGGGCUUUUCCCUCUUCGCUCGCCGCUACUAGGGGAAUCCUGGUUAGUUUAUUUUCCUCCGCUUACUGAUAUGCUUAAGUUCAGCGGGUUGUCUCGUCUGAUCUGAGGUCGUAUUCGAGAUUGGUUGUGGUGUGGCCUGCCUUCCCAGAGAGUUAACAAGUGUCUGCUGAAAUAUGUUUUAAAUGAUUUACACUUUGUUAGUGAUUCAGCCUAAGUAAUACAGCUACAGUAGUUAUAUCAAGGUCAACUACAAGUAACACUUAUGAUUUGUUCAAACCGAAGAAAA